UUUUAACGCGAAGAACCUUACCAUCCUUUGACAUGGCGUGUUACCCAGAGAGAUUUGGGGUCCCCUUCGGGGGCGCGCACACAGGUGCUGCAUGGCUGUCGUCAGCUCGUGUCGUGAGAUGUUGGGUUAAGUCCCGCAACGAGCGCNACCCACGUCCUUAGUUGCCAUCAUUCAGUUGGGCACUCUAGGGAGACUGCCGGUGAUAANCCGACGAGGAAGGUGUGGAUGACGUCAAGUCCUCAUGNCCCUUAUCGGGAUGGGCUACACACGUGCUACAAUGGCGGUGAACAGUGGGACGCGAAGGAGCGAUCUGGAGCAAAUCCCCAAAAGCCGUCUCAGUUCGGAUUGCA
rnacentral:rRNA from 1 species